UAUAGACAAUACUUUGGCUGCGAAACAAUAGAUCGCUGGGGUCGAGACUGCGACACCAUGCAUUCUUAUGGACAAUACUUUAGCUGCGAAACAAUAGAUCGUUAGAUUUAAUAUUGUAAGGUGCUGUUUGACUGUGGGUUGAGACAGUGACACCAACCAUAUGAACAAUACCUUAGACUGUUGAAACUGCUUUCCACAGAAAAGUUUAAAAAGAAAAGAAAGCUAAAUUCCAUAUUACUAUUAAUUAUCUCAACGCAUGAAAUCAUACAGAAAACUUGAAUUUAUGCAGUUACUUCAUCACUAAAAUUUAAAUGGAUUUAAACUUUUCCCUGCACAUGUUCACGUAUCAAAAACGCUGAACUCGGGAAAGACAGCCGCGGUAACAUUCAGUCAAGUAUAUUUACCAUGGCCGUUUGAUAAAUGAGAAAUAGAGUUUCAUAAAUAUACUGUAACGGUUCAGUAAAUUCAAAUAUUUAACCAAGUAACAACCAAAUUUGAUUAUAUAUAUUACUAAUUUAUGAGAAUGUAGUGAAAUUGUAUAAAAACAAUAAAUUUAAG